GUAGUCAUAUGCUUGUCUCAAAGAUUAAGCCAUGCAUGUGUAAGUAUAAGCGAUUGUACUGUGAGACUGCGAACGGCUCAUUAUAUCAGUAAUAAUUUCUUCGGUAGUUUCUUUUAUAUGGAUACCUGCAGUAAUUCUGGAAAUAAUACAUGCUGUAAGAGCCCUGUAUGGGGCUGCACUUAUUAGAUUGAAGCCGAUUUUAUUGGUGAAUCAUGAUAAUUGAGCAGAUUGACUAUUUUUGGUCGAUGAAUCGUUUGAGUUUCUGCCCCAUCAGUUGUCGACGGUAGUGUAUUGGACUACGGUGACUAUAACGGGUGACGGAGAGUUAGGGCUCGACUCCGGAGAGGGAGCCUGAGAGACGGCUACCAUAUCCAAGGAUAGCAGCAGGCGCGUAAAUUACCCACUGUGGACUCCACGAGGUAGUGACGAGAAAUAUCGAUGCGAAGCGUGUAUGCGUUUUGCUAUCGGAAUGAGAGCAAUGUAAAACCCUCAUCGAGGAUCAACUGGAGGGCAAGUCUGGUGCCAGCAGCCGCGGUAAUUCCAGCUCCAGAAGCAUAUGCUAAAGUUGUUGCAGUUAAAAAGCUCGUAGUUGAAUUUCUGGCAUGGGCGACCGGUGCUUUCCCUGAAUGGGGAUUGAUUGUCUGUGUUGCCUUGGCCAUCUUUUUCUUUUCUUUAUAGGGGAGAAAUCUUUCACUGUAAUCAAAGCAGAGUGUUCCAAGCAGGUCGUAUGACCGGUAUGUUUAUUAUGGGAUGAUAAGAUAGGACUUGGGUGCUAUUUUGUUGGUUUGCACGCCUGAGUAAUGGUUAAUAGGAACAGUUGGGGGUAUUCGUAUUUAGGAGCUAGAGGUGAAAUUCUUGGAUUUCCGAAAGACGAACUAGAGCGAAGGCAUUUACCUAGCAUGUUUUCAUUAAUCAAGAACGAAAGUCUGGGGAUCGAAGAUGAUUAGAUACCAUCGUAGUCUAGACCGUAAACGAUGCCGACUUGCGAUUGUUGGGUGCUUUAUUAAUGGGCCUCAGCAGCAGCACAUGAGAAAUCAAAGUCUUUGGGUUCCGGGGGGAGUAUGGUCGCAAGGCUGAAACUUAAAGGAAUUGACGGAAGGGCACCACCAGGAGUGGAGCCUGCGGCUUAAUUUGACUCAACACGGGAAAACUUACCAGGUCCAGACAUAGGUAGGAUUGACAGAUUGAGAGCUCUUUCAUGAUUCUAUGGGUGGUGGUGCAUGGCCGUUCUUAGUUGGUGGAGUGAUUUGUCUGGUUAAUUCCGUUAACGAACGAGACCUCGGCCUACUAAAUAGUGCGUGGUAUGGCAACGUAGUGCGUUUUUACUUCUUAGAGGGACAUGUCCGGUUUACGGGCAGGAAGUUCGAGGCAAUAACAGGUCUGUGAUGC
rnacentral:rRNA from 1 species